GCCGAGGGCACGUUCAUCGUAAAUUUGAUCCAAUCGCAGCCUUUGUUGGAGAGGAAUCCUUUGAUAGCAUCGUUGUCUAGACUUUCAAGUGCUGCUGUCAAUUCGUUUCUUCCACCAAUGAAACUUGUGCCUUGGUCUGAUCGUAAUUCUCGUACGUUGCCACGUCGACUAAUAAAUCUUCUUAACGCAUUUAAGAACGAGUCUGUGUUCAUC